rnacentral:rRNA from 1 species
AUUGAACGCUGGCGGCAGGCCUAACACAUGCAAGUCGAACGAGUGGCGGACGGGUGAGUAAUGUCUGGGAAACUGCCCGAUGGAGGGGGAUAACUACUGGAAACGGUAGCUAAUACCGCAUACCCUCGGAUGUGCCCAGAUGGGAUUAGCUAGUUGGUGGGGUAAAGGCUCACCUAGGCGACGAGCCCUAGCUGGUCUGAGAGGAGGACCAGCCACACUGGAACUGAGACACGGCCCAGACUCCGACGUGAGGCAUCAGUGGGGAAUAUUGCACAAUGGGCGCAACCCUGAUGCAGCCAUCCCGCGUGUAUGAAGAAGGCCUUCGGGUUGUAAAGUACUUUCGGCGGGGAGGCGUUACCCGCAGAAGAAGCACCGGCUAACUCCGUGCCAGCCGCCGCGGUAAUAC